rnacentral:rRNA from 1 species
UACGGAGGGUGCAAGCGUUAUCCGGAUUCACUGGGUUUAAAGGGUGCGUAGGUGGGUUGGUAAGUCAGUGGUGAAAUCCCCGAGCUUAACUUGGGAACUGCCAUUGAUACUAUCAAUCUUGAAUACUGUGGAGGUCAGCGGAAUAUGUCAUGUAGCGGUGAAAUGCGUAGAUAUUGCUCGGAAGGCCAGAGGCGAAGGCGGGUUACUGGUACGCAACCGACACUGAGGCACGAAAGCGUGGGGAGCAAACAGG